GAUGAACGCUGGCGGCGUGCUUAAUACAUGCAAGUCGAACGAAGGGUUAGCAAUAACUCUUAGUGGCGAACGGGUGAGUAACGCGUUGGUGACCUGCCCCAAAGCGAGGGAUAACAGUUCGAAAGGACUGCUAAUACCCCAUGAGGUCUUAGAGGUUAGAGGCUUUAAGACGAAAGGAGCAAUCCACUUUGGGAGGGGCCUGCGUCCCAACAGCUAGUUGGUAAGGUAAAAGCCUACCAAGGCGACGACGGGUAGGGGACCUGAGAGGGUGGCCCCCCACACUGGCACUGAAACACGGGCCAGACACCUACGGGUGGCAGCAGUAGGGAAUAUUGCACAAUGGGCGAAAGCCUGAUGCAGCAACGCCGCGUGCGCGAAGAAGGCCUUCGGGUCGUAAAGCGCUUUUCGGGGAGAUGAGAAAGGACAGUAUCCCCGGAAUAAGGCUCGGCUAACUACGUGCCAGCAGCCGCAGUAAUAC
rnacentral:rRNA from 1 species